GGGUGUGUCGUAUAGGGGUUAGUACACUUCGUUGUGGCCGAAGAAACGCAAGUUCGAGUCUUGCCACGCCCA
rfam:Gaeumannomyces graminis var. tritici R3-111a-1 unplaced genomic scaffold supercont2.3, whole genome shotgun sequence.